rnacentral:rRNA from 1 species
AAUCAACGCUGGCGGCGUGCCUCAGACAUGCAAGUCGAACGAUUAAACUUUCCUUCGGGAAAGAUAUAAAGUGGCGCACGGGUGAGUAACACGUAAGUAAUCUACCUUCGAGUGGGGAAUAACGUCCGGAAACGGACGCUAAUACCGCAUAAUGCAGCGGCAUCGCAAGAUGACAGUUGUUAAAGGAAUUUAUUUCGCUUGAAGAGGAGCUUGCGGCAGAUUAGCUUGUUGGAAGGUAACGGCUUACCAAGGCUACGAUCUGUAACCGGUCCUAAGAGGACGGUCGGUCACACUGACACUGAAUAACGGGUCAGACUCCUACGGGAGGCAGCAGUCGGGAAUUUUGGGCAAUGGGCGUAAAGCCUGACCCAGGCAAACGCCGCGUGAAGGAUGAAGUAAUUUCGGUAUGUAAACUUCGAAAGAAUAGGAAGAAU